rnacentral:rRNA from 16 species
GGAUUGGGGUCUGCAACUCGACCCCAUGAAGUCGGAGUCGCUAGUAAUCGCAGAUCAGCAACGCUGCGGUGAAUACGUUCCCGGGCCUUGUACACACCGCCCGUCACACCAUGGGAGUGGGUUGCUCCAGAAGUAGCUAGUCUAACCUUCGGGGGGACGGUUACCACGGAGUGAUUCAUGACUGGGGUGAAGUCGUAACAAGGUAGCCGUAGGGGAACCUGCGGCUGGAUCACCU